GAUCAUUACCGAGUUAUACAACUCAUCAACCCUGUGAACAUACCUAAAACGUUGCUUCGGCGGGAACAGACGGCCCCGUAACACGGGCCGCCCCCGCCAGAGGACCCCCUAACUCUGUUUCUAUUAUGUUUCUUCUGAGUAAAACAAGCAAAUAAAUUAAAACUUUCAACAACGGAUCUCUUGGCUCUGGCAUCGAUGAAGAACGCAGCGAAAUGCGAUAAGUAAUGUGAAUUGCAGAAUUCAGUGAAUCAUCGAAUCUUUGAACGCACAUUGCGCCCGCCAGUAUUCUGGCGGGCAUGCCUGUUCGAGCGUCAUUACAACCCUCAGGCCCCCGGGCCUGGCGUUGGGGAUCGGCGAGGCGCCCCCUGCGGGCACACGCCGUCCCCCAAAUACAGUGGCGGUCCCGCCGCAGCUUCCAUUGCGUAGUAGCUAACACCUCGCAACUGGAGAGCGGCGCGGCCAUGCCGUAAAACACCCAACUUCUGAAUGUUGACCUCGAAUCAGGUAGGAAUACCCGCUGAACCUAAGCAUAUCA
rnacentral:misc_RNA from 1 species